CCGAUGAGUGAGCCCUAAUUUUCGCCCAUUUCAUAUUUUUACAAAAUUGGAGCUUAAAUUCAUUGUUAAAUGCAUGUAUGUGUGUUAUAAUGCUUUGAGAAUCAUGUUUAGUUGGUAAAUAGCUUGAGUUUGUUGAGAUUUGUUGAAAAUUUCUUGAGAAUUUUGGUGUUUUUUUUUUUUUUUUUUAAUUUUUGGCGAAUUUUCGGUGGUUUGGUGGUUUGGGCAUUGUUGUUUGAUUGGGUUGGACAUUAUUGUUGAGUUCUUGGGCAUUGUUGUUUGACGAGGGUGUCGUCGUGACCCCGUCGUAUGAAGCCCCCAUUGC
rnacentral:lncRNA from 1 species